CCCUUGCCCUCGGUGAUCCUCGAAACAAAGCCGCCGCCGCGAGCAGCUAUACUCCAUCCCCACUGCCGUUCAAGUCUACGGCGGCUGAAGUUAACCAACAAUGGAAGAUAAUGGCCUUGAGUUCCUUCUCGAUGGGGUCGACAGAUUUCCCCUCCGUGAAGAAUUCGCGAACAUCCUAGACCACCGAGAUCCGGUUCCUCUGGCGGUUCUCUCGUGGAAUUGUGCGACAAGCGUUGAGCCGGCUGACUCAAACGUUGGGUCCGGAUGCGGGCAGCGAGUUGGCGGCGUUAGCCAGGUUGCGUCUAGGGAGCGUGCUGCCAGACAGAACCCAUUUCCUUCAAGAAUGAGUGCCCUUGAGUAGUCAAUUCACAAAUUGGCUUUGGAAUAAGAUAUGGGAAAAGCAGAUUGAACGCAGAGAGGACCAAAUCAAUGCAGGAGAUUGUCUGCGUCUGCUCGAGGCUGAGAAUAGCAGGUUGUGUAGAUGCGAGUGACCUGCUUUGAGGAUGUACAUUUCUGAAAACCGUGUUUUGCUGUCACAGUUCAUGGAUGUACUUCACUUAGAGGAGAUUCCUGUUAAGCAUAUUGUCAAGCGGUGGACCAAGGACGUGAAGAACAUACUACCCUAGCACCUGAUUCAAUACCAGAAAGACCAUUCAGUUAACUUGUCUUUCACGUGCAGACAUUCGACGCUAUGUAUGAAAGCUAUGGAUGUCAUGAUGAUGGGGGAUGCGAGUGCAGAGUCAUUCGAGCACAUGUUAGCUAGUCUGAAUGAUUGUUGGUUACUAGUGCACCGUUUGCAGAGAAGAGAGAUUGUUUGGCUUUUGAGGACCGAUUGGCAAAGGUCUUGCAGUCCCGGAUAAGCAGAGGGGUUGGAAGGCCGACAGAUACUGGAGAAGGCACCAUACGAGGGUCUGAGCAAAUGGACAAAGUUCUGCAGCUUCUGCCGGCGCGAGGGACACAAGUGAACAACCUGCCCUGGGAUGCACCGAAGAAGCCGUGCAAACCCUGGAAAAUGCAAGAACUAUAGUAUGGUAGGUCAUCACUGCAACAUAUGUACCAGGCCACUGGGAAUUGCUGAAAAAAUGGGAUGUGAUAUUUAAGUUUGUACUCUGUUCUUAGUUGCUGAAGAUUUUCUAGUGUGUUCUAGUGAGCAGUGCUCCAUGCUUGUUCCUCCAUUUUCGAGGUGGCAAAAAGCCGGAAUCAGAUAAUAAAACGAUGAUCUUGUUUGU